rnacentral:misc_RNA from 1 species
AACGCACGAGACCUGCGGACCUGCGGAGGGAUCAUUAACAAAUCCAAUAUCUUGUGAAGAGGGCGACCUCUUUACGAAUAUUAAGCCGCCAGGUCUUAGGACUUGGUAGUUGAUACAUAAAUGCAUGUUUUGUUGACAGUGUGUGAGUGAUUUUUAAUUAUUGACAACUUUCAGCAAUGGAUCUCU